rnacentral:rRNA from 1 species
ACGAACGCUGGCGGCGUGCCUAAUACAUGCAAGUCGAACGAACCGCGACUGAGUGCUUGCACUUGGUCAAGGUGAGUGGCGAACGGGUGAGUAACACGUGGGUAACCUACCUCAUAGUGGGGGAUAACAGUCGGAAACGACUGCUAAUACCGCAUAGGACAUAGGAUCACAUGAUCCAGUGAGGAAAGGUGGCGCAAGCUAUCACUAAGAGAUGGACCCGCGGUGCAUUAGCUAGUUGGUAGGGUAAAGGCCUACCAAGGCGAUGAUGCAUAGCCGACCUGAGAGGGUGAUCGGCCACAUUGGGACUGAGACACGGCCCAAACUCCUACGGGAGGCAGCAGUAGGGAAUCUUCCGCAAUGGACGCAAGUCUGACGGAGCAACGCCGCGUGAGUGAAGAAGGUCUUCGGAUCGUAAAGCUCUGUUGUUAGAGAAGAACAGCGCAUAGAGUAACUGCUAUGCGUGUGACGGUAUCUAACCAGAAAGCCACGGCUAACUACGUG